rnacentral:rRNA from 1 species
ACCUGCGGAAGGAUCAUUAUCGAAUAAAACUUGAGCAGGCUGUUUGCUGGCCCUCUUGGGGGUAUGUGCACGCUUGUCCUUUGUUAUUUCUCCAACUUGUGCACAUUUUGUAGACCCUGGAGCUUUAUGAAUUUUAUUCGAGUCGGGACUGCUGUGCUUUUCUACUUGGGAGAGUCAGCUUUGCCUUGCAUCUCCAAGGUCUAUGUCAUUUUUCACAACCCUAUCAUGUUUUGGAUGUAUGUUAUUAAAAAUGAAAUAUACAACUUUCAGCAACGGAUCUCUUGGCUCUCGCAUCGAUGAAGAACGCAGCGAAAUGCGAUAAGUAAUGUGAAUUGCAGAAUUCAGUGAAUCAUCGAAUCUUUGAACGCAUCUUGCGCUCCUUGGUAUUCCGAGGAGCAUGCCUGUUUGAGUGUCAUUUAACUUCUCAACCACUUGAUUUUUUUUUGGGUGGCUUGGAUGUGGGGGUUGUUUGCAGGCUUUUCUUGAGGUCAGCUCCCCUGAAAUGUAUUAGUAGUAUCUGAGGCUAUUACUAUAGGUGUGAUAAAUUAUCUAUGCCUUUGGUAUGCUGCAUGAACUGCUUCCAACAAAGAUAAAACCUUUUGAUGAAUUG